CCCUGUGACCUCAACUUCCUUCUCCAUAAAACACAGAGCCUGGGGCCUCUGUGCGCGGCUCCUCGCUCCCUGUCGGCUAAAGGCUUCCUGGGCUGCCAAGCGCCCUUCAGGCCCCAGGUGGUCACGUGGUGCCCCUGCUGGGGCGGAGCCCCCCCCCUCCAGCCCCCAACCUGCCUCUCUGGGGCCUGGCCCAGCUGCUCCGGGCUGCCCUUUGACCUGCCGGCUGGCUGAAGCUUUGUAAACACAGUCAUCUGGUGUUUGUCUCCGGCUCCCAGGGCUGGGGGGGCUGUUUGUUUGGGGCUCUGUUAGUUAAGCCGGUGGUGAGCAGGCCUGAGAUAACCCUGCCAGUUACAGCCCAGGAGGGGACCAGAACUGCCACAAGGCGCGAGCCCACAGCCAUCCUUCCUUCCUCUGCCUGCACCCUCCCCAGGGCCAGGCUGGCCGAGGACGGGAAGAAACACGGAACGUUGCCCUGCCCAGGCACAGGGAGUCCAGCCCUGCGGGGGGGCCUGCCAGACAUCGGCCACCUUGCAGGCUUGAGGACCCCAGGACACCUCACAGCCACCCCUGCCGGCGGCCGACACACGAGCAUCUGCAAUGGUGGCUAAGGCGCCGCUGGGAUGCCUCCGGGCCAGGUCAGGGUUCUAGGCUCUGCGCUCCUCUCUUCAUGCCUGCUGCUGUGAUGCACACCCUGGGAGGCAGCAGUUCCAGUUUGAGCUACGUAGAUGGGAUUCAGGCAGGAACUGAGGAGGAGUCCAGGGCUGCACUGUGGGACCCGAGACCCUCCCAGCCCUCAUGUCGCCUGUGGUUGACCCCAGGGCCCGGAGAACCCUGAUGACUUCAGCCACUGAUGUCUGGGCGGUGCCCACGGUGCCUGCAGCAGGUUUUAAAGACAGUGUUGGGGGCCAUUGCUGUGGUGUAGCGGGUAAAGCCACUGCCUGCAGUGCUGCCAUCCCAUGUGGGCACCGGUCCCGGCUGCUCCACUUCCGAUCCAGUUAUCCGAUAUGGCCUGGGAAAGCAGUGGAGGAUGGCCCAGGUCCUUGGGUCCCUGCGUUCAUGUGGGAGACCUGGAAGAAGCUCCUGGCUCCUGGCUUCGGAUCAGCCCAGCUCCGGCCAUUGUGGCCAUCUGGAGAGUGAACCAGCAGAUGGAAGACUUCUCUCUUUCUCUCUCUCUCUCUGCCUCUGCUUCUCUGUAAGUCUGCUUUUCAAAUAAAAUAAAAAACAAAUCUUUACAAUAAUAA